rnacentral:snRNA from 1 species
AGAGAAUCACUUAAACCCAGGAGACGGAGGUUGCAGUGAGCUGAGAUCCCGCCACUGCAUUCCAGCCUGGGCAACAGAG